rnacentral:lncRNA from 13 species
CAAUAGGAGGAGCCCUGCCACAUACACAGCAGUGCCCAGGGAGAGGAGCAAGGAUUAAAUGAUGGAUGACCCCCUUUCCAGAUGCAUUCACAGGCAUUAAUGGUGCCCUAUGCAGUGAGUGGCAUCAUGCUUCUGCUUCUUUUGACACAAGACGUGCCUUUUUGGGCAGUGCUCCUCUCUUAGGAGUUGUCUGCACUGAGGUUUAGAUAUCUGGGGGAAUGGGGACUGCCUCCUUCUUACUUUUCAGAGCUGGUGAGGCACUCUUCCCUAACUGAUCAAUGAAGCAGGCUGGGACACACAGCAAUGACACAGGCAGACAGGUUCCAGGUUGCAAAAGCUGUUUGUGGCUGCUAGUCUCAACACCAAGGAGAAACCUCAAUUUCAGCAACCCUCCCCCCGCUGCGGUCCUGUAAUGGGAGAAAGUCUAAUUCCAGCACCUACUGAUGGGGUGUAUGUGACAUAUGCUACUCAAUCCUGGCUCCCACUCCAAAGCAAGCAUUCCAAAUUCUGAGCUGACACCACAAUGCCUGCAAUGGCUGCUGCUGCCAGGUAGCCAAACAAUGAAUAUCUUUGUAUAAGCCUGGAUUAUAAAUGGAGUCUUCCUCUCAGUCUCAGAUCUAGGAAAAUGCCUGCAGCUUUUGCUGGUGUCUCUAUCUCUGUCUCAGACUCUACCCAAGUUAGCUCCAGGGUUGAGAGAAACAUUGUGCUCUCUCAUGGCCUUGAUUCCACAGAUCUCCAGUGGAAGGAUCCAAAUCAGGAUCCCACGCUGCAUUCAGUCAUGUCUCCCCGGUCUCUUCCGAUUUGGCUUGUCAUGUUGAAUCUUACCUAUGGAGAUGAACAGCAUGCCAAAUGGGUAAUAAGUAUUCCAGGUGUUGCCUUGCUGCUUUCCAGCAAAGUUAUUAAUAAAAAAAGCAUGAGGAAGAGGAGAAAGGCUAAGAUCUUUUCCAAUGCACAAUGAGGAAAAUACACACUAUG